AUUCGCAUUGAAUCCCAAUGGUAACCCUGAUUAGUGAGGAACUACAAACUUGUCUAUAGGUUCAAUACAAUUCAAUUACAUUAGCUUACACACUAUUUUUCGUUAGGUAGGAUAAAUGCAUAUCAUCAUGUCAAAAUUAAAACGGAUGGUAAAGACAGCGUAACAUUAUUUCUUAAUCAAGUGAAGCGCCAUGUUCAACCAUGACUUUAAUUAGAGCCAUCACUGAUGCAUCACUUGGAUCGAUCAUUAUCAAAAAGUUGUGCCAAUUUGAUAAAAGCUUCCCUUUUACAGUUGAAAUGUAUCUACUCUUUGUACACCCAAUUAAAGCUAAGCUUCCUUUCUUCUAUAAAUAAUUUGAGCAUUAUAUUCUAAGCCGUGUUUCGAUUAAUUAAAGAAUUGAUAUGGAGUGUAGUGGAAAGAAGAUGGUUCUCAAACCAAUACGAACAUCAAAGAAUUCAGAUGAUGAAGAAGAGGAAGCAAUAUUACUAAGUCCAGCUUCUCGAAUGUUCCAUGAACCUAAUUACAAUAUUCACAUUGUAGCAAUCAUGGGUUGGAAAGUACCACUAGACAUUGACUCCGUCAGAGCCCAAAUACUAGGCAAGUUGCUUAAAACCCACGCUUCUCCAGUUUGCAGGUUAUGGAUGAGAGUCAUGAAGAAAUGAGAUGGGUUCCGACGACAGUGAAUAUAGAUGAUCAUGUCAUAGUACCCGAGCUGGAUAUUUAUAAUAAUAUGGAUACGGACAAGUUGGUGGAAGAGUAUAUAUCGAACCUAAGCACGACAACUAUUGACAUAACAAAACCUCUAUGGGAUCUUCACAUCCUUAACGUGAAAACAUGUCAUGCUGAGGCAACUUCUAUUUUCCGUUUUCACCAUUCUCUUGGAGAUAAUAACAUGGGAUCCUACUUCUUUGCCUACACUUGCAGUUUCUUCUUCAAAGGACAAAUCAAAUAGUAAUAAUAUUCGGUCAUUGAUGUGGCAGUACCUUGAGAAAUUCUGGUUGUUCAUCAGACUUUUGUUCAAUACACUUGUUGAUGUUUUGCUUUUUAUAGCGACUGCUCUAUGCUUGAAGGAUUCUCAAUCACCUUUUACCGUUGCAAAAGAGUACUCCACCCGCCAAAGAUUUAUCUAUCGGACUGUUAGCUUGGACCACAUUAAAUUUAUAACAAAUGCGACGAUUAACGACGUUAUACUGGGAAUAACACAAGCGGCGUUGUCUCGUUAUAUCCACCAAAAAUACGGCAAGAGGAAAUUUUCACUAGAACAAAUGAGAUGCAGAGCCACUGUUCUAGUGAAUCUGAGACCAGCUUUAGGAGUCCAAGCCGUAGCGGAAAUGAUUGAGAAGAAUGCCAUUGUAAUACAAGGAAACUGUUUUCGCUUUGUCAUAAUUCCUUUAAAUAUAGCCCAAUUACAAAAUCCUCUCGAUUAUAUUCACAAAGCUAAGAUAUCAAUGGAUCGAAAGAAGUUUUCUCUUGAGUCUCAAUGCACCUUUUACGUGUUACAGCUUUUCCUCAAGUUCUUUGGCUUUAAGGGUGCAACAAAACUUGCUCAAAGAUUUCCAUCUCAGACAACACUAGCCUUUUCAAACGUAGCUGGUCCGCUUGAAGAAGUUUCUUGUUCAGGCCAUCCAUUGGCAUUCCUUGCCCCUACAUGCUAUGGCCAGCCCACUGGGCUAAUGGUUCAUGCCUGUAGUUACGCCAACAAGUUAACAUUUGCUAUAACAGUUGAUGAAGGAAUGAUUUUAGAUCCUAACCAGCUUGGCGAUGAUUUCGUCGAUUCAUUUAUAAGCAUCAACGAGGCUGCCCUCUCAAAAUUGAGAACCAAAGUGGACUAAAUUAUUACACAUUUAGAAGCGCUCCUAUAUAAACCUUGAAUCUUGGUUUAUAUGUGUUGAUCAUUGACGAGUAAAUUUAUGAUAUGUACAUUUAUUGCUAAAAAUAUUAUAUUUGGUUAUAUAAUAUUAUAUUGUCUUUACAAGUAAUUAUUAUCCUUGUGUACCAAUGUUAUUGUCGACAAUAACAUCACUUUCUGAAAAGGAAAAACAACUGCAACAUUUGAGUUUUCCAGCUUGAAUUUAGAGUUGUCAAAAAUGGGCUGCCCAGCCUAACCCUACCGGCCGGGAGAUUACAAUAGUCUAAGCGUAGCUCAAUCCUUCAUCUAAACUCUAAAGGAGAAACUAACUAAUUAUACCAAUAUUCUAUCAUAUUUACUAAUUCUCCUUCUAAAAAGGACAAUUCGGUGCACUAAAGCUCCAGCUAUGCGU